rnacentral:rRNA from 1 species
UGAUCCUGGCUCAGGAUGAACGCUAGCGGCAGGCUUAACACAUGCAAGUCGAGGGGUAACAUUGUAGCUUGCUACAGAUGACGACCGGCGCACGGGUGCGUAACGCGUAUAGAACUUACCUUUUACAGAGGGAUAGCCCUUAGAAAUGAAGAUUAAUACCUCAUAGUAUUAUUGAUUGGCAUCAAUUAAUAAUUAAAGAUUUAUCGGUAAAAGAUGGCUAUGCGUCCUAUUAGCUAGAUGGUAAGGUAAUGGCUUACCAUGGCUACGAUAGGUAGGGGCCCUGAGAGGGGGAUCCCCCACACUGGUACUGAGACACGGACCAGACUCCUACGGGAGGCAGCAGUGAGGAAUAUUGGGCAAUGGAGGUAACUCUGACCCAGCCAUGCCGCGUGCAGGAAGACUGCCCUAUGGGUUGUAGACUGCUUUUAUACAGGAAGAAACACUCGUACGUGUACGAGCUUGACGGUACUGUAAGAAUAAGGACCGGCUAACUCCGUGCCAGCAGCCGCGGUAAUACGGAGGGUCCGAGCGUUAUCCGGAAUCAUUGGGUUUAAAGGGUCCGCAGGCGGUCAAUUAAGUCAGAGGUGAAAUCCCAUAGCUUAACUAUGGAACUGCCUUUGAUACUGGUUGACUUGAGUCAUAUGGAAGUAGAUAGAAUGUGUAGUGUAGCGGUGAAAUGCAUAGAUAUUACACAGAAUACCGAUUGCGAAGGCAGUCUACUACGUAUGUACUGACGCUCAUGGACGAAAGCGUGGGGAGCGAACAGGAUUAGAUACCCUGGUAGU